rnacentral:rRNA from 1 species
GCUUACGGCCAUACCACCCUGAGAACGCCCGAUCUCGUCUGAUCUUGGAAGCUAAGCAGGGUCGGGUCUGGUUAGUACUUGGAUGGGAGACCGCCUGGGAAUACCAGGUGCUGUAAGCU